GAUGAACGCUGGCGGCGUGCCUAACACAUGCAAGUCGAACGAAGCGACUCAAAGUUUUCGGACAGAGAGUUGACUGAGUGGCGGACGGGUGAGUAACGCGUGGAUAACCUGCCUCAUACAGGGGGAUAACAGUUAGAAAUGACUGCUAAUACCGCAUAAGCGCACAGUACCGCAUGGUACAGUGUGAAAAACUCCGGUGGUAUGAGAUGGAUCCGCGUCUGAUUAGCUAGUUGGCGGGGUAACGGCACACCAAGGCGACGAUCAGUAGCCGACCUGAGAGGGUGACCGGCCACAUUGGGACUGAGACACGGCCCAAACUCCUACGGGAGGCAGCAGUGGGGAAUAUUGCACAAUGGGCGAAAGCCUGAUGCAGCGACGCCGCGUGAGUGAAGAAGUAUUUCGGUAUGUAAAGCUCUAUCAGCAGGGAAGAAAAUGACGGUACCUGACUAAGAAGCCCCGGCUAACUACGUGCCAGCCGCCGCAGUAACAC
rnacentral:rRNA from 1 species